rnacentral:sRNA from 1 species
AGGCCGGGGUCUCACAGCGACUGCGCGGACGGGUUCCUGAGUGGAACAUGGCGACUUGCGCCGAAAUCCUGCGGAGCGAGUUCCCCGAAAUUGACGGACAAGUCUUCGACUACGUGACCGGCGUCUUGCACAGCGGCAGCGCGGACUUCGAGUCUGUGGAUGACCUAGUGGAAGCUGUAGGGGAACUAUUGCAAGAGGUGUCCGGGGACAGCAAGGAUGACGCGGGCAUCAGGGCCGUGUGCCAGCGCAUGUACAACACUCUGCGUCUGGCUGAGCCACAAAGCCAGGGAAAUAGCCAGGUGCUACUGGACGCCCCUAUCCAGUUGUCAAAGAUAACGGAGAACUACGACUGUGGAACCAAACUUCCAGGACUGCUAAAGAGGGAACAGUCCUCGGUGAGGAGGAGGAAGCAAGGGAGGGGACUGUAUGUGAUGGGGUUGGGAGUUGACUGUCUAAUUGCAGUAUCUUUUUGGGGGAUUUCUGACUAUGUCUUUUCCUAAGCCUUUGAGUCUGUUCAUCAUGGGUAAGUUAAGAGGGUUUACUCGAGAUGUUCUCUCUUGGGGUUCCUUUCUGAGCCUACACCCUAGAGUGAAGUCGAUGUGUUUGGACCCUUAGACAGUGAAUGCAAAGAAGUUAGAGAAGGCCGAGGCUCGACUUAAGGCAAAGCAGGAGAAGCGCUCAGAGAAGGACACGCUCAAGACCAGCAACCCUCUAGUCUUAGAAGAGGCAUCAGCCAGCCAGGCAGGCAGCAGAA